rnacentral:rRNA from 1 species
AUUGAACGCUGGCGGCAGGCCUAACACAUGCAAGUCGAGCGGGGUUUUCGGACCUAGCGGCGGACGGGUGAGUAAUGCGUAGGAAGCUACCCGAUAGAGGGGGAUACCAGUUGGAAACGACUGUUAAUACCGCAUAAUGUCUACGGACCAAAGUGUGGGACCUUCGGGCCACAUGCUAUCGGAUGCGCCUACGUGGGAUUAGCUAGUUGGUGAGGUAAUGGCUCACCAAGGCGACGAUCCCUAGCUGGAUUGAGAGGAUGAACAGCCACACUGGAACGGAGACACGGUCCAGACUCCUACGGGAGGCAGAAGUGGGGAAUAUUGGACAAUUGGCGCAAGCCUGAUCCAGCCAUGCCGCGUGUGUGAAGAAGGCCUUCGGGUUGUAAAGCACUUUCAGUAGGGAGGAAGCGUUGUGUGUUAAUAGUACACAGCGUUGACGUUACCUACAGAAGAAGCACCGGCUAACUCUGUGCCAGCCGCCGCCGUAAAAC